rnacentral:rRNA from 1 species
AGAGUUUGAUCCUGGCUCAGGACGAACGCUGGCGGCGUGCCUAAUACAUGCAAGUAGAACGCUGAAGAGAGGAGCUUGCUCUUCUUGGAUGAGUUGCGAACGGGUGAGUAACGCGUAGGUAACCUGCCUUGUAGCGGGGGAUAACUAUUGGAAACGAUAGCUAAUACCGCAUAACAAUGGAUGACACAUGUCAUUUAUUUGAAAGGGGCAAUUGUUCCACUACAAGAUGGACCUGCGUUGUAUUAGCUAGUAGGUGAGGUAAUGGCUCACCUAGGCGACGAUACAUAGCCGACCUGAGAGGGUGAUCGGCCACACUGGGACUGAGACACGGCCCAGACUCCUACGGGAGGCAGCAGUAGGGAAUCUUCGGCAAUGGGGGCAACCCUGACCGAGCAACGCCGCGUGAGUGAAGAAGGUUUUCGGAUCGUAAAGCUCUGUUGUAAGUCAAGAACGGGUGUGAGAGUGGAAAGUUCACACUGUGACGGUAGCUUACCAGAAAGGGACGGCUAACUACGUGCCAGCAGCCGCGGU